AGAUUGAACGCUGGCGGCAGGCCUAACACAUGCAAGUCGAGCGGCAGCACGGGUACUUGUACCUGGUGGCGAGCGGCGGACGGGUGAGUAAUGCCUAGGAAUCUGCCUGGUAGUGGGGGAUAACGCUCGGAAACGGACGCUAAUACCGCAUACGUCCUACGGGAGAAAGCAGGGGACCUUCGGGCCUUGCGCUAUCAGAUGAGCCUAGGUCGGAUUAGCUAGUUGGUGAGGUAAUGGCUCACCAAGGCGACGAUCCGUAACUGGUCUGAGAGGAUGACCAGUCACACUGGAACUGAGACACGGUCCAGACUCCUACGGGAGGCAGCAGUGGGGAAUAUUGGACAAUGGGCGAAAGCCUGAUCCAGCCAUGCCGCGUGUGUGAAGAAGGUCUUCGGAUUGUAAAGCACUUUAAGUUGGAGAAGGCAGUUACCUAAUACGUAUCUGUUUGACGUUACCGACAGAAUAAGCACCGGCUAACUCUGUGCCAGCACG
rnacentral:rRNA from 1 species